UGGACUGUAGCUAAGUGGUAGAGCACUUGCCUAGGAUGUAAGAGGCAACUGAGUUCAAUCCCCAGUACAA
rnacentral:tRNA from 1 species